rnacentral:rRNA from 1 species
UAGGGAAUAUUGGGCAAUGGAUGCAAGUCUUACCCAGCCAUGCCGCGUGCCGGAUGAAGGCCCUCAGGGUUGUAAACGUCUUUUCUUCGGGAAGAAGAGCAUGGAUGCGUCUGUGUGUGACGGUACCGAAUGAAUAAGCACCGGCUAACUCCUUGCCAGCAGCCGCGGUAAUACGGAGGGUGCGAGCGUUGUCCGGAUUUAUUGGGUUUAAAGGGUGCGUAGGUGGCUUUUUAAGUCAUUGGUGAAAUACAGCCGCUCAACGGUUGAGGUGCCAUUGAUACUGAAGAGCUGGAAACAAGUGGAGGAGGCCGGAAUGGAUGGUGUAGCGAUGAAAUGAAUAGAUAUCAGCCAGAACACCGAUUGCGAAGGCAGGUGGCUACGUUUGAUUUGACACUGAGGCACGAAAGCAUGGGGAGCAAACA